GUCUGAUCCCAUGUUUGAUCUAUUUUUACUACUGUGUUACCUCAUCCUUGAGGAAGUCCUGAUUUCAUUAAAGGUGUCCUUGGUCUCUUUGGCUUCAGAAGUCAACACUGCAUACACUGUUAUUACUGAAAAAUGGGAAUUCUUAUCUAUUCAUCUACUUCACUGCUAUGUCCAUGUAGACAAAUUUACUGCAGCCAGAUACGAUAAAAAAACAGCAAAGUUCAGAUGGGGAUAAUCCAGGAUGGAAACCAGGACAAAGUGGAGGCAAUAAAAGGGAAAUAAUUCAGCUCUGUUUUUUUCUGCCUCCAUUUAUAGACACUUGCAGCCAGUCACCUUGGAUACUCGUUUUUUUUUCAUUCUUUAUCAUCAGAUGUGUGGCAAAGCCUAAUGUCAGAAGCAGAGAGGAGGGUUCUCAUUUGCUACUUACACAGACAAAAUAAGGUGAAUUUUGUCCUGAAUGCACCGACUGUAUUGAUAACAUCUGAGAUUCAAGUACCUCAACAUAUAUACACAAUGCCAUCUGAAAUACUCCAAACCAUCAACAGGAAACUGACAGCUAUGAUGCAGGAUAUGGAAGAGGCCUUAUUCUUCUGCACAAAUAGCUGGAUCCAGCAGAAAAACCUGAAUGCAUCAGAAAUGGCACAAAAAAAAAUGUGUUUAUGCAAUUUAAAAUUAAGCAUGCAUAAGAUUACUACUACUACAGGAACUUGGGCUGUAGAUAUUUCUUUAGCUAUUUAG
rnacentral:lncRNA from 1 species